rnacentral:lncRNA from 1 species
AUCUUCGCCGACCUCGUCGACCUCGGCGCCAUGGGCGUCGUCCUCGGCCAGGACCUCUCCGUGCUCGCCUCGGCGCCCCCGCCCGUGCGCGCCUGCGGCUCCCCCGCCGCGCUCCUCUACGGCGUCGGUGUCGCCGUCUACGCCUUCGAGGGCAUCGGCAUGGUGCUCCCCCUCGAGGCCGAGGCCGCCGACAAGCCCCGCUUCGGCCGCGCCCUCGCCCUCUCCAUGGCCUUCAUCGCCGCCAUGUNGUCGGCGUCGCCGUCUACGCCUUCGAGGGCAUCGGCAUGGUGCUCCCCCUCGAGGCCGAGGCCGCCGACAAGCCCCGCUUCGGCCGCGCCCUCGCCCUCUCCAUGGCCUUCAUCGCCGCCAUGUACGGCCUCUUCGGCGCCCUCGGCUACCUCGCCUUCGGCGACGACACCCGCGACAUCAU